ACACACAGCAAUACUGUGUUUUGUUGUGGAAACAUCAGUUUUGGUCCUGGAUCAGUUACUGAUCGGCAGUGGUUACUUAUCUAAAUAACUUGUCCUCUUUGGAUUUUAGAUGUGUGAGCAAGUUGGAAUAAGCCUCUAAAAUGUCUUCCACCUUGAAUGUUUGGAUGAAGUUGACCACCUUGUAUGAUAAGUUUCUGUGGAGCAAACAGGACAAGUGGAGAACAAUUCAGUUCCCUCCGAGUGAACGGCGUGUCUCCUCUGCAUUGACAAAAUUUAUGAGAGUGAUCUAUUAAACAAAGGGCCAAGGAGCAGUUCCAGAAUUCCACGCUUGCCAAUUGUGUUAGUUUCCUAGCGCUGCCUUAGCAAGGUACCAAAGACCAAAAAGUAUGAGCCUUAAAACAGCAGAUAUUUAUUCUCUCAUAGUUCUGGAGGCUUGAAGUGAAAAACUGAGAUGCUGGCAGCAUUGAUUUGAAUCUUCCCUGAAUUUCUGAGGUAGAAUCUGUUGUUUGCCUCUCUCCUGGCUUCUGACGGUUUGCACCAAUCCUCGGUGUUCCUCGACUAUGGAUGUGUCACUUCAAUCCUUGCCUUCCUCUUCACAGGGGCCUUCUUCCCCCCUUGUCUGUGUAAUUUCCCUUUUCUUAUAAGGACAUCAGUCGCUGAAUUCAAGGAGGCCCUAAUCCAGUAUGACCGCGUUUUAACUUAAUUAUAUCUAUAAAGACCAUUUCAAAGGAAGGUCAUCUCCACAGGUUUAGAAGUUUUGAUUUCAAUAUAUUUUACUGAGGGGCACAGUUAAAUCCAUAACAUGAAGCAAAUGGCUUAAGCAGAAACCUUAAAACUAGACUUUUUCUCUCUCGUUGGCCUACCCUACGGUUUGGCAGAGCUGCUGCUCUCUAAUAUGAGACACCCCACCUUGCGGGGUGCUCAUUAUUUUUGUGUUUCGUAGGGUAGCAGAGCAUGGCACCCCAACAUAUACUAUUUUGGCAUAAAGCUUAGGUUGAGCUGAAAGCUAUUGGGAAGAAGCAGAUGCAAGAAAAAAAGCAGAUACAAGAAAAGCUGUCUGCCCUCCCCCAUGUGCCUGAAAGCAGGAUGCAAAUUUACAAAGAUGCCCUCUUUUCCUUUUCUAUGAGGAAGGACAAAGGUUAAUCACUGCAGACAAUUUAUGACCUUUAUCAGCUUAGAGACAGCAUCAGAGGAACUGAUAAAACAAACUUUAUUAACUAACCUCAUUUGCCGUUAAUCUCCCAUGUAUUUGCCUCCCCACAAUUUGCCAGCCCUGGAGACCCAGAGUCCUUUUUGCUUGUCCUAUCGCUUCUCUAAAAAUGUAUCAUCCCUUUGCUAAGAUGCUACCUAAGCCCAAGUUCUAACCAAACCUCUGAGUUACUCAUCUCGUCUACUCCCUUGCGUUGCAUGCACAAUGCAUGUUAAUAAAUACGUUUGUUUUUCUUUUGUUAAUCUGUUU
rnacentral:lncRNA from 12 species